CAUACGCAAUAUGGAACUCCUUCACCUUUCCUAUUAAAACUCUAUCCUUUAAGUCCUCAAAUAUUCCAAAUUUGGCAACAUGAUUGUCAUACGCAAUAUGGAACUCCUUCACUUUUCUUCCCCGGACGUGGUUGCUAGAAUCUUCGCCCUCAUCAUCUUUCUCUAUGCUCUAUUCAAGAUAUAUAGAGGAAGAGCCAGAGCUCAUCAUCGGAAGCGACUGCCACCGGAAGUCGGUGGCGCAUUGCCGCUGAUUGGCCAUCUUCAUCUUUUAGAUAAAAAUGAACCAGCUCACAUAACGUUUGCCAAAAUGGCUGAUGCAUAUGGGCCAAUAUUUACGUUGAGAUUGGGUUUGUACACAAACUUGAUUGUGAGCAAUUGGGAAAUAGCGAGAGAGUGUUUUACUACAAACGAUAAAAUCUUUGCCUCUCGUCCAAAGCUCGUGGCCUCAAAGUUGUUGGGGUAUGACUAUGCCAUGUUGGGGUUGAGCCCAUAUGGUCCACACUGGCGCCAUGUUCGCAAGUUAACCAUGCUUGAACUAUUGACGAGCCAUCGCCUCCAGAAGCUCCAACACAUAAGGGUAUCCGAGGUCCAAACUUCGAUUAAGAAUUUAUAUGAGUUAUGUCUAAAAAACAAGAAGAAUAAUGAGAAGAAUGCAUUGGUGGAGAUGAAGACAUGGUUUGGAGAUAUAACUCUAAACACCAUUUCUAGGAUAGUGGUUGGAAAGCAAUUCUCAACGGCCGUGGAUGUGAGUAAUACUAAUGAAAAUGAAGAGUAUCGGAAGGCGUUGAGGGAUUUUUUCGAAUGGUUUGGAGUAUUUGUUCCUUCAGAUUCGUUUCCAUUUCUAAAGUGGUUGGAUUUGGGUGGACAUGAGAAAGCCAUGAAGAAGACUGCCCAAGUUCUCGAUGAGGUGUUUGAUAAAUGGAUUCAAGAGCAUCAACAAAAGAAAAAUAAUUUGGGUGCAGUGAAGAUGGAAGAACAUGACUUCAUGGAUGUGAUGCUUUCUAAUGUUAGAGAUGACGGACAACUUUCUAAAUAUGAUGCUCAUAUUGUCACCAAAGCUACAUGUUUGGUAUAUAUAUUACAUGCAUAUUUACUUUGAUGAUCUAUUUACCUACAUUUGCUUUUACUUAACUAGGUUUAUGUUCUUGUUAGGCUCUUAUAUUGGCUGGAUCUGACACUACAACAGUAACAAUGAUAUGGGCUCUUUCUUUACUUCUUAAUAAUCAAGAAGUACUUAAGAGAGCUCAACUUGAAUUGGACGAACAUGUUGGGAGACAAAGACAAGUGAAAGAAUCCGAUGUAAAGAACUUACUGUAUCUUCAAGCUGUUGUGAAAGAAACAUUACGUUUAUAUCCUGCAGCGCCAAUUCUAAUCCCUCAUGAAUCAAUUGAGGAUUGUGUGGUUGCUGGUUACCAUAUUCCGUUAGGAACACGAUUGAUAGUGAAUGUUCAAAAGCUUCAAAGAGACCCACAAAUAUGGGAGGAUCCUUGUGAGUUUCAUCCAGAAAGAUUUUUAACAAGUGAAAAAGAUUUUGAUGUUAGAGGACAGAGUCCCCAGUUAAUACCAUUUGGAAGUGGUCGAAGAAUGUGCCCUGGAAUCUCGUUUGCUCUACAAGUGAUGCAUUUAGCACUUGCCAAUUUGCUUCAUGGGUUUGAAAUUAGUAGGCCAACUAAAGAGCUUCUGGACAUGGAGGAGAGUGCUGGAAUGACAAGUAUUAGAAAGAAUCCACUUGAAGUUGUUUUAACGCCACGCCUUCCACCUCAAGUUUAUGAAUUAUAAGUUUUAUAUAUAAAACGAAUUGAAUCAACAGAGAAUGGUAGAAAAAUUUAACAGGAUACUAUAGCGCGCGUCGCUCUCACCAAUAAAACAAUGGAGUUUGCAAAAAUAGCAUGAGAAAUCACUUGUGAAUUCAAAACAGAUAUAUGAGGUUUUUUUGAGGAAUUCCUAUUGAGAUUUAUUUCAAACCUUCAACCUCACCGAGAAAAAUUAGUACAAUCCAAUUAUUAUAUGUGUAUACGUAUGCAUAUACGAUUACUAUUUGAAAAAUUGUAGUACGUGGUAAUUUAAUUUUAUGGAUUUGCCAACUUAUCGAACACUUUUUUUUUUUCAUUUUUGCAAAUAUGACAAAAAAAAAGUCUAACACACAAGUGAUACACUUGAUGCACCGGAUGAAAGUCUGUUGUACUUAAAACACUCUUUGUGUUCGAAAAUAUGUGAGGCUUUAAUUGCGUUCUCCCUUUCAUGAUAAGAAUGAUCGCAACAAAUAACUAAUUAUGUGUCAAAAAUUGUUAUUUGGUGAGAAGGCUACGGGACGAACUCUUAUGCGUUUUGAGCUUCUUUCGCACCCGGAAGUGUGAUGUCAUCCUUGUGUAUGCAAGUUGACAAUUGAUUCGACUUUGUCAACCAAUCAAAAUUCAGAAUGAGAAAAUGGCAGAGACACAUGGAGUUCUGUAGUUGGACCAAUUCUCACUAUCGGUAGAAGUAAUCAUUCAGACAUGAAAAACUUCAUCUGAAAGGCUUAUAAAUAGAUGAAAAUCUGAUCAUUUGAAGUUGUUUUUACCUUAAGCUCACUUGAGAAAGAAUUGAGAGAAAUUUCAAAGUUUUAGAGAUCUAAAACGAGGUUGAAUCUGGCAAGAGUUGCAAGGAAGUUACAAGAGAGCUCGAGACUAAAAAGCUAGUUGAGUGUCUUUGUAAUUGUGAAUAGUUUUUCUAGAAAAUGCUUUCCAAAAUAAAAAGGAUUUCUAAAUGUGUUUAAAUGUGUAUUGUCUUUCUAAUGAAAUUAUGAAAGAUAUGAUGUCUCUUAUACUUUCCAAUUCUUAAAAUGCAUAUGAUUUAUAAAUGAAUUAGACUUGUAUAUGAACUUAAAUGAUGUGAUAAGAUGAGCUGUAAUUGAGAAAUGCAUAAGAUUUGAUAUAAAUUUGUAAUUGAGAAAUGAUGAUACUUUGUACCCUAUAAGAUGAGAUGUUUUAUCCUUGUUGUGUGGUAUAGGAUAAUAUGUUAUAUUUUUUAUGUGUGUUAUGGAAUAGAAUGCCUUAUAUCUAUACUCUCUGAUAUCGAGUGGGAUGCCUCAUACUUGCUUUGGAAUUUGGUAAUAUUUAGUAAUAAGAUAUUCCCUAGAUAUUCAUUUAAAUAAUAUUUGAAUGAAAUAUUAAUUAAAUAUGAUUUAAUUAAUUAUUAACUAAUUGAUUAAUUGUUAAUUAAUUAAUAGAUUUGAUAAUAAUUAGAAGCUUUUCGCACACGUGUGGUCGAUUACUGCAGGGUAUUUUUGUUAUUUCACGUUAUGAGAUGUUUUAAAUUAAAUUAAAUUAAAUUAAAUAAUAUAAAUAAAGAAAGUACUUAAACAAAAUCAUCAAAGUUGUAAAUUGAACCAAGAAAUUACUUCUAUGAUUUCUCAAAUUUUGCUCAAUUGAUUUCUCAAGUUUUAUCCAAUUUUUUAAAAAACAUUUCUUAAAAUUUGAAAAAGAAAAAAAUAAAAAUUGGAUGGAAUGACAAAAUUUGAGAAGCUGGUAGGAAUUAUAGAAAAAAACUGAAUUAAUAAGUUUUAUAGCAAAUUGUUUGACGCCCACCUUUUUUAUUCCUAUUUUUAACCAUUAUUCUUGAUAUGAAUUUAUUUGCUAUAAAAUAUUUAACCAAAUCUUUUUUCUAUAUGAAUCUCUAUCCAUAAUAUUUUCAAUUAGUUAUCCUAACGAAAGCUUUCUAUCUAAUAAAUGUUUGUAGAUUUAUUUACUAAAUUUAUAUCCUAAUUCAACCUUCAUCUUUGAUAAAUGUUUGUCUAUUUAUUUUCUAAAUUUUAAAAAUAUAUAUUUAAUCAUCUAUAAUAUCUAUUUUUCUAAGAUUUCGAAAACAUAUAGGUUUAAUAAAUUUUUAGAAAUGUCUUAUUCUUUUUCAUUAAUAAACUUUUAUUUAAUUGUUUUUCAGAAAUAUAAAAUAUUUCAUUAAUAAACUUUAUAAAACAGUAAAUAUCUCGUUAUUAUACUAGAUUUAGUUCCAUUUAUAUCUAAAAUAUGAAAAGAAUUUUUUCAUUCCAUUUAAAUGUUUUGAAAAUCAUAUUUAUAUGGUAUGUUAUGAUUUUCAAGUACACUGUAUUUUAAAUUUUAAAUGUACUUAUAAUGAAACACAAUGUAUUUUUAAAAUGUAUAACAAACCGAUAAAAUAUUUACACUCUAUAUAACAAUUUUGAAAACGGAAAAAGGCCACAAGCCCAUAAUAAAAAAUACUAAAAAUGUCUCAGUCAACACAUAAUUAAUCGUCCACAUGAACACGUGCAAUUAUUCUUCUAAACGAUCAUGAUACUUGUACAGAUCUCUAACACCGCUUUCAUUAGAUUAUAAUAAUUUAAGAUUGUAGAUAUAAGAAAAGAGAAGAUUUUCAAACUGUGAUUUUGCAGAAAAGGGCAAAAAACCGCUUUCAUUAGAUUAUAGACAAAAGAGAAGAGAAGAGAAGAGAAGGUAAUUUUCAAACAUGAUUUUGCAGAAAAUGAUGAAAAAUGUUUCCAUUAGAUUGUAGAGAGAAGAGAAGAGAAGGUUUUUAUAGGGUAAUUUUACAGAAAACAACGAAUGACAGAGAGGCGGAGUUCUAGCUAGAGAGGUGGAGUUUUGUGGACAUUUUUGGAUGGUUUGUAGUAUACGUCGUUGCCAUUGGUUUUCAACCAUUUCUACUCAAAGGAUGUAUAUUUAUGGGUACAUGGGAGGUUGACAUUUGAUUCUCAAUGCUUUGAGAAAGAAUUUAGAGUUUUUAGCAUUUGUUUGAAGUGUUGGGUUUUGUUUUUGGGAAAAAAUAAAAAUGUUUUGAUUUUAUGUUUUUUUUUUUUUCGGAUGUGAGUCUUAAUUAUAGUGUAUUUUAGAAGGUGUGAUUUGUAAUGGAGUAAAGACAUUUAAGUCUUAUAUGUAACAAUUUUUUAUUCUAUUUUUAUAAACACCACAUAAUUUUCCUAUUUAUCUUUUGCGUUUAGUUCAGUUCCACCACAUCCUUUUAAUCUCCUACAUAACCACAACUUAUUACCCAAUCUCCAUAACAUUCAUUUCACACACAUGGAUCUUUCUCAACUCUCUUUAUCAGCCACCGUCGUUACCGGAAUCUUCUCCCUUCUCCUCUUUCUCUAUGCCCUCUUCGACAUAUCUACAAGAGUGGCCGGUGCUCGUCGAAACAAACUCCCACCCGAACUCCCUGGUCGUUGGCCAGUGAUUGGUCACCUCCAUUUGUUAAAUGCAACAGAACCAGCGCACAUAACCUUAGCAAAGUUCGCAGACACUUACGGACCAAUAUUUACUUUGAAAUUGGGUAUGAACAAAGCCUUGGUCGUGAGCAGUUGGGAAAUAGCGAAAGAGUGUUUCACUACAAACGACAGAAUCUUUGCCUCUCGUCCAAAGCUCGUGGCCUCCAAGUUGCUGGGAUAUAACUACACCAUGUUUGGAUUGAGCCCAUAUGGUUCGUACUGGCGUCAUAUCCGCAAACUCGCCACGCUUGAACUCUUGACCAACCGCCGCCUCCACCAGCUCCAACAUAUCAGAGAAUUUGAAGUCCAAACUUCAAUUAAGAAGCUGUAUGAGUUAUGUAUCAGAAACAAGAAAUCGUUGGUGGAAAUGAAUACGUGGUUUGGGGAUAUAACUCUAAACACAAUCUUUAGGAUGGUGGUUGGAAAGAGAUUCUCAAUGGCAAUGGAUGGAAGUGCUAAUGGAAAUGAUGUAUAUCGUAUGGCAUUGAGGGAUUUUUUUGAAUGGUUUGGAGUGUUUGUGCCUUCAGAUAGUUUUCCAUUUCUAAAGUGGUUUGAUUUGGGUGGACAUGAGAAAGCCAUGAAGAAGACAGCUAAAAUUCUUGACGAGGUGUUUGAUAAAUGGCUUCAAGAACAUCGACUAAGGAGAAAAUUUGAGGAGAGUGAGAAUGACUUCAUGGAUGUACUUCUUUCUAAUGUUAAAGAUGCAGAACAAUUUUCAAACUACGAUGCAGAUACAGUUAUCAAGUCUUCAUGUUUGGUAUGUAUGGUUUUUUAAAGAUUAAGUUUUGACAACUUGUGUCUCCCAUGAUAGAUAACGGUUUAGAUUAACUUCAAUAUUUAUAUAUUUAUAAACAACUUUUCUGGAAUUAUAAAUAAUUGAAGGGUGUUUGGGAUAAGGAAUGAAAUAGGAAGUUGAAAUCCCAAGAUCAGUAAGGAGUUGAUGUCUAAGUCCUUUUAAUUUAAUUAUUAAUUUUCAUAUUUGAAAGUUAAGUCUAAACGAAGUCAAUUUUUUAUGUCAUUACGAAUGAAAAUAAAAUAUAUUAAAAUUUUAGAUUUUAUAAAUAAUAAACAUUAAUAUUUAUUUUUCACUAGUUUGGAAGUUAUAAUAUUAUUUCAAUAGUUUUUUAGUCUAAAUAACUGUAAUUAGUUUAUGUAAAAGAUGACAAGAAAAAUGGUGUUUGAAAAUUUUAUUUUUCUCAAAAUUUAUUUUAGAUUAUUUAUCCAAGUUUAUGCAUAAAUAUGGUUAAAUGAUAGAUAAUACUCUGUAGUUCAAAUUGACGUGGAUGUUUAUUGAGUUUAUGGCCUUUUGGCACUGCCAACAUCUAUAUAUUAAUCAUUUUUAAUAAACAAAAUUCUCACAAACUGUUAUGCUACAAAACAAUUUGAAAGUUAGAGAGUUAAAAAUCCAGCCUCUCGAAAUAUGAGAAUAUAAUUGAAACUAUCCCAAGAGUUAGUUAGCAAAGAUCGAUACUCUAUAAAAUUUACAAGGUCUCUGUAUGCUCAUUUUAAAUCUUACAUCUCCAAGAUAUCCAAAUUCCUUUUUAGUAAUUAAAAUUUGUUGAACCUUUUGUAGGCUCUUAUAUUGGCUGGUUUUGAUACUACAACAGUAACAAUGAUUUGGACACUUUCUUUAUUACUCAACAAUCCAGAAGCACUCAAAAGAGCUCAACUUGAAUUAGAUGAGCAAAUUGGGAGACACAAACAAGUUAAAGAAUCAGAUAUAGAAAAGCUUAAGUAUCUCGAAGCAAUAGUGAAAGAAGCAUUACGUUUAUAUCCACCAGGACCACUUGGAGUUCCUCAUGAAUCCACAGACGAUUGUAAAAUUGCAGGCUAUCAUAUUCCAGCAGGAACACGUUUAAUGGUGAAUAUUCAAAAGCUUCAAAGAGACCCAUGUGUGUGGGAAGAUCCCUGUGAAUUUCGACCAGAAAGAUUUCUAACAAGUCACAAAGAUUUUGACGUUAGAGGAAAAUGCCCCAUGCUCAUACCAUUUGGAACUGGACGUAGGAUGUGUCCAGCAAGUUCAUUUGCACUUCAGAUUAUGCAUUUAGCACUUGCAAAUUUGCUUCACGGAUUUGAAAUUGAAAGGCCAUCUCAAGACCUAAUUGAUAUGGAAGAAAGUGCUGGUAUGGUUAGC
rnacentral:lncRNA from 1 species